rnacentral:rRNA from 1 species
ACACGACUACAUUAGAUACCCCUGUAGUCCUAGCCGUAAACGAUACUCGCUAGGUGUCGGCCACGGUGCGACCGUUGUCGGUGCCGUAGGGAAGCCGUGAAGCGAGCCACCUGGGAAGUACGGCCGCAAGGCUGAAACUUAAAGGAAUUGGCGGGGGAGCACCACAACGGGUGGGGCCUGCGGUUUAAUUGGACUCAACGCCGGGAAGCUCACCGGAUAAGACAGCGGAAUGAUUGCCGGGCUGAAGACCCUGCAUGACCAGCUG